UAAUACUACGCAUGGAAAGGGUUUAAAAAGAGGGAAUUGUGUUUUUGACUGGUUGCCUGUCUACCGGAGGUCUGUUGUAGGGUUGUCAUGGUGAUGACUAGACCUCGCGUUUUGGGGGUAUACUGUCCCUUUAAGAGCCGCCGUAAGCCAGAGCACGCAUGCACUCAAGUUUGUGUCACACUGAGCGCUGUGAGCGGGAGCACUGGAGAGUUAGAGACUGCAAAAGAUUCUGUGGCUAGCUACACACGAGUUCUUAACGCGCGACGGGUGCAUGUUUAAUGGUCACGUGCUGUGAAAGGGACUGAAGAGCGGGUUGGCGUGAGUAGUUACAGUGUCCUAACAGAUUUCAAAGUUGUUAAGUUUAUACUUUUACUCACUUUGCAUAACUCUGUAUGUUUCUGUUUGAUUCAGAGGGGAGAUCACUUGCUGUGUGAUUCCUGCGUGUGUACUUGUCCUAGCACAGUAGCUGUGUGGAGAAACCGAAGUGAGUUCAUGAUGUUCUCCCAUAGAAAUGUAUGUUUAAAAGAGAGUUUACAGUGCACUUUAUUGCCAGUUGACCUGCGAAGUUGUGGGAUGUAAACAAUGUGUUUAUUUGUUUUGUUUUCUCUUUUUUUGUUGUAUUUGUUUCUUGACAGGUCACUACUGUUGUCUAUACUGUUUGGAUUUAACAUGUACAUAUGAUAGUUACUGUUGUCUCAGACCCUGAAAGGCAGUUUAGGCUGAGCCAGUGGAAUAGUUAAAUUUUGCCGUUUCACUCAAAACUACAGAAUUAAAACUGUGCUCCUCCGAGUACAGUCGGAGAAUAAAAAAGCCCACAAAAGAGUA